rnacentral:rRNA from 1 species
GGCGGCAGGCCUAAGACAUGCAAGUCGAGCGAGAAAGCCCUUCGGGGUGAGUACAGCGGCGGACGGGUGAGUAACGCGUAGGAAUCUACCCAGUAGUGGGGGACAACUAGUGGAAACGCUAGCUAAUACCGCAUACGCCCUACGGGGGAAAGCGGGGGACCUUCGGGCCUCGUGCUAUUGGAUGAGCCUGCGUAAGAUUAGCUUGUUGGUGAGGUAAUGGCUCACCAAGGCGACGAUCUUUAGCUGGUCUGAGAGGAUGAUCAGCCACACCGGGACUGAGACACGGCCCGGACUCCUACGGGAGGCAGCAGUCGGGAAUAUUGCGCAAUGGGCGAAAGCCUGACGCAGCCAUGCCGCGUGUGUGAAGAAGGCCCUAGGGUUGUAAAGCACUUUCAAUUGGGAGGAAAAGCUAAUGGUUAAUAACCAUUAGCCCUGACGUUACCUUUAGAAGAAGCACCGGCUAACUCCGUGCCAGCAGCCGCGGUAAU